CAAAAAGAGCCUUAAAUGCUGAGGUUUCUCCCAAGUCUGACU
rnacentral:snoRNA from 14 species